rnacentral:lncRNA from 1 species
GCCUAUUUGCUUCAUUAAAUAGAAUUUCCAAAAAAAGAUAAAACUUUGUUUAUCUUUUCUUUUUCUAAAGAGAAAUCAUUGUGUUAUAUAAGACUCUAUUCUCUGUCAGUGGGGAACAUCAGUGGAGAAACAUAUCAAAAAAGUGUUACCAAACAUAAAAAAACAAAUAACUAAACACUAUAUUAUGAGUCAAUGGGUCAACGUUCUUUGUUAUGUUUAGAGAGUCUCUUUUGAAACUUGUGAUCUUCUUCCACAUAGCUCUCUUUAACGCUCUCUGAUAUUAUUCAUCUCUUCAAUCAUACUUGCUAAUGGAUUCUUCUUCUUUUUUCCUUACCACUGUUGUUGCUGCAACAAUAGGCUUGUUCACGAUUUUAAGAAAACUCAGACUCCAUCAAGAAGAGGACGAAGAAACUUCAUCACCUCCAUCUUCUUUGUCUCCUUCAUCUUCUUCAUCUUCUCUGAAUUGCAUCUGGACACACCAUGUCUUUCCAAGUUUCCGAGGGGAAGAUGUCCGUAGAGACUUUCUUAGUCACAUUCAGAUGGAGUUCCAACGAAUGGGAAUCACAACAUUCAUUGAUAAUGAGUUGGUGUCUUGACGAAUUGGUGGAAAUUAUGAAGUGUAAGGAAGAAUUGGGUCAAAUGGUGAUGGCUGUUUUCUAUAAAGUGGAUCCGUCUGAUGCGAAAAACUAACCGGAGAUUUUGGGAAAAUCUUCAGAAAAACUUGUGCUGGUAAAACAAAGCAGGUCACUGGGAGAUGGAGACAAGCUUUGGCUAAAGUAGCAACUAUCGCUGGUUACCAUUCAAGCAACUGGUUUGUUGUUUUCUAUCUCCAAUUAAAUAUGUUAAUUUUUCUAUCUCCAUUUACGAAAAAGUUCUAAUAAAUUUUCAUCCUAACCCAAUACAAAACGUUUCUCAAAAAUUUUUAUAAUUGUGAUCAACCCAAUUAAUUAAAACAAAACGUUUAUUAUAAAUAGUGAGCUUUCGCGCGACAUUGUGCGUAGUAUCAACAAUAAUAGAGGCGGUAGCCAAAUGUUUUGUAGUGUCUCAAAGUAUAAAUGACAAGGAUGAAAGAAAAUAUUAAUUUUCCUGAUUGUGCUCUCACUUGGGAAGCUAGAUAAUUAAAAAAGGUUAUUCAAUAACAAAAACUUUAACCAUAUAUUGUGCUGCCAGUAUUUCUGAUAGUGUAGAGAUUACUACAAUAAACAAUGUACAUAACUUAACUUUUGUUUAAUUGUAACUUAGCAAACUAUACGAUAAGGUCAAAUUCAUAAAUAUAACAUUUUUUCUUGUAACAAAAACUAAAAUUUAUAACAUUGACACUGAGGUAACUUCACAUUCAGUUCACAUUCAGCAAAUGUUAUGCACUAACUAAAAUAUUGAUUACAGAUUCUCUUCUUAGUUCUUACCCUGGAGACUUCACAAUAUAUUGAUCAUUUUGUCUUUGUUUAUCCUAAAUUAGUGGGAUUGCAUCUCCACUUAGUCUUUAAUAUAGUUCUUUCUUUUAUUUUGUGUAGUUAAACAUCAUCGAUUAGAAAACAAAGGGAAUCUUGAAAUUGGACAAAAACAGAGUUAUCUCUUUGGUUACUUCUUAUGUGUUUAGACAUAAAACAUCUCUUUUGCUUUGUGGAGGGACCAUUCUAUCACCAAACUUGUGUUUAGAUUAACGGUAAUCAAUGAUGACGUACGAGGCAUGAACCGAGACGCUGUUUGUAUGGAGUUAAAUAAAUUAAAUUUAAGGAAAUGAUAAAUGUAAUAUUGUUGUAAACACAUGCAUUGUAUAUAAUUAUUUUGAAUAGAGUUCAUUAUGCAAAUAUGAUAUUUAUACAACUUAGUAAAUUACUAUGCUAUAUUUCAUGGUAAUCAUUAAUCUAUUGAAUUAAGUAAAUUACUAUGCUAUAUUUCAUGGUAAUCAUUAAUCUAUUGAAUUAAGAUUAACUUAAAUAUAAAUCUACUAUACUCUUUUUAUAUAUAUAUAAAUCUACAAUAUUUAAAAAUAUGGAAAAACUCAUCCAAAAUAUGAUGAUCACAAAUAAAUAAAAAUCAGAUUUUUUUUUUUUUUUUUUUGAGGUUUCCAGCUACUUUCAUGUAAUGUAAUGUAAAUGUUAGAGAAGUUACUUGUGUAUACUUUUCUCAUAUUUAAUUUGUGUCAUGAGAAAAGUAAAUGUUAGAGAAGUUACUUGACGCUUUUGUAUACUUUUCUCAUAUUUGUGUCAUGCAUAGCACAACCACUACAAAACCCACAUGACUUGUUCUUUGUUCUUUGUUCUCAUAUACUUUAAUUUUUUUGUUGCUAAAAAAUAUUUGAACGAAGCUUCCUCUCUUGCUAGUUGCUAGCCUAGUCAUUAAAAAUAAAUAUGAUCAAUGUCAGUGGAGAAACUUAUCAAAACUAAAAGAAAUAACAUAUGCUAAGUCAAUGGAUCAACGUUCUUUUGUAAUGUUCCUUCUCCACAUAAACUCUCUUUAACGUUCUGUGAUAUUAUUCAUCUCUCCAUCAUUCAUACUUGCUAAUGGAUUCUUCUUCUUUUUUCCUUACCACUGUUCUUGCUGCAACAAUAGGCUUCUUCACGAUUUUAAGAAAACUCAAACUCCAUCAAGAAGAGGACGAAGAAAGUUCAUCACCUCCAUCUUCUUUGUCUCCUUCAUCUCCUCCAUCUUCUCUGAAUCGCAUCUGGACACACCAUGUCUUUCCAAGUUUCCGAGGGGAAGAUGUCCGUAGAGACUUUCUUAGUCACAUUCAGAUGGAGUUCCAACGAAUGGGAAUCACAAC